GAGCAGAGCCAUUGACUUGGAGAGGCUGGGGCUAUUGGACCCGACUCCCAAGUUUGUUAGCCCCUUGCCUCCCACACAGCCGAGCUUACUUUGGACAAAAGAGUGAGGAAAAAUAAAGCAAUGGCAGGAACAAAUGAAGAGUGAUGCCGGGGAAGAUAAAACCAGAUCUCUGAGCAAAAGAAGCUUGGGCAUAGACCUCAGAACCUUGGAGAGAGUGGCACCUCUGACAUGCUGUAUGAACCAAUUGUUACGUGGAGUGUGAACAGAAACCUGUUAUCUCCCCUUUGAAGAGGACACAUGAAUAUCUGACCAGCCUUAUGUUCCUUUGUGCAGAAUGGCCAGACAGUUAAAAUUUUGUAGUCACCACGAUUCACCGUAUCACCAGCAGGGGGAAGCAGUCUCUGCGUGGUCCUCUGCCGAUUGCAUCGGAGAAAGUCAUUAAAAAGAAUUAAAAAGGAAACAGAAAGAGACGGAAGAGGAGGAGGAAAAAAAACUAAACAGCUCCAAAUAAACUCGAACAAAAGAACAACAGGAUCUUCCUGCUCAAAGGUCUGGGCCACCCUCACCUUGACAGCAAAGGACAGCAGCACUCCAGCGAUUUACUGGGAGAACGGAGGAAAGCCUUGAGUAGAUGGUCGAAGGUGUCUCAGGGAGGAGCAGUACCAAGGCUGCUUCAACAGGCUGGUAGCAUGAAGGUAGCUCUAAGGACAUCUUGUUGCCUG